rnacentral:lncRNA from 1 species
GGGAAUACCAGGGGUGGGCACUGUCAAGAGACCCAACUUUGACUUCAAAUGCCACCCAGAGGGACAACUGCUCACUUUCAGAGCAGGAGCAGGAGGCCAGCGGAGAGCGUGAGUCUAACAUCUGCACAGCGAGAAGUGCAGGAGAAGCAAAAAUGAGAUCCAGGCUGGAGCGGCUGUGCCAGAGGGUCCCUAUGAUCCAGACCUCAGGAGAGGGUUCCUGGACAUCGCACAGAAAGGGAUUCAAGACUGGCUGAAACUGUUUAGAGCCAAGAUAGCCAACCAAAUGAGUUCAAGAAGACCUCAGGCUUCAUUAUCAUCUCAUUUCCAUGCUAAAAAAACCCCAGCUCCCCAGAGCAAUGGGAAAUAGUGGGCACUUCAUCAGGUGAGUUCGGGUGCAUUUCUAGAGAUUGUCCAGGGGCUGAUAACAAGAAUAGAGAACCAUCCAUAUCCACAAGCGGCAGAACCUCUUCCAGCAAAACGGAGGUGCCUCACCCAAAGGUCACGCUGGCAUUAGCCCCUCAUCCUCUGGAGUUCAUCUCAUCCAGGCGAAGACAGCUCGCUGGCCUCAGAGGGUGAGAUGCAACUGGAGGGUAAAAACAUUUUUACGGGGCAUGGACACAAAAGUGGCCUUUACUUCUGGGUAAGCUUUUAAAACUUCCCAUCUACACGAAAAGUGUACUUUCUAUGUGCCACCAAGAAACCUAAACUAAGUAAAAGGUGUCUCACUUUAAUCAAGUUCCAG